rnacentral:rRNA from 1 species
GACGAACGCUGGCGGCGUGCCUAAUACAUGCAAGUCGAACGCAUCUUCCCUCCCCUUUGCUUGCUCUCAAUUGGGACGGGGGGGUGCGUAAGAGGUAGUAACCCGUGCUUUAACAAUGGGAUAGCGGCGGAAGACCCUAGCUAACAGCUGAUAAUACUUUAUACCAGUUUGUUCAACAGUGAAUAACGGUGUUGCGCGCACUUGUAUGUGGUUCCGCGGUGCAUUAGCUAGUUGGUAAGGUAACGGCUUACCAAGGCAACGAUGCAUAGCCGACCUGAGAGGGUGAUCGGCCACACUGGAACUGAGACACGGCCCAGACUCCUACGGGAGGCAGCAGUAGGGAAUCUUCGGCAAUGGGCGAAAGCCUGACCGAGCAACGCCGCGUGAGUGAAGAAGGUCUUCGGAUCGUAAAACUCUGUUGUUAGGGAAGAACAAAUGUGUAAGUAACUGUACGCCUCUUGACGGUAUCUAAUCAGAAAGCCACGGCUAACUACGUG